rnacentral:rRNA from 1 species
UUAAAUGAGAGUUUGAUCCUGGCUCAGGACGAACGCUGGCGGCGUGCCUAAUACAUGCAAGUCGAGCGAUGAUUAAAGAUAGCUUGCUAUUUUUAUGAAGAGCGGCGAACGGGUGAGUAACGCGUGGGAAAUCUGCCGAGUAGCGGGGGACAACGUUUGGAAACGAACGCUAAUACCGCAUAACAAUGAGAAUCGCAUGAUUCUUAUUUAAAAGAAGCAAUUGCUUCACUACUUGAUGAUCCCGCGUUGUAUUAGCUAGUUGGUAGUGUAAAGGACUACCAAGCGAUGAUACAUAGCCGACCUGAGAGGGUGAUCGGCCACACUGGGACUGAGACACGGCCCAGACUCCUACGGGAGGCAGCAGUAGGGAAUCUUCGGCAAUGGGGGCAACCCUGACCGAGCAACGCCGCGUGAGUGAAGAAGGUUUUCGGAUCGUAAAACUCUGUUGUUAGAGAAGAACGUUAAGUAGAGUGGAAAAUUACUUAAGUGACGGUAUCUAACCAGAAAGGGACGGCUAACUACGUGCCAGCAGCCGCGGUAAUACGUAGGUCCCAAGCGUUGUCCGGAUUUAUUGGGCGUAAAGCGAGCGCAGGUGGUUUCUUAAGUCUGAUGUAAAAGGCAGUGGCUCAACCAUUGUGUGCAUUGGAAACUGGGAGACUUGAGUGCAGGAGAGGAGAGUGGAAUUCCAUGUGUAGCGGUGAAAUGCGUAGAUAUAUGGAGGAACACCGGAGGCGAAAGCGGCUCUCUGGCC